CAUCCGGCAACCUUAUCGAACUUUCCUACCUAGUUCUAAUGGCUUGUUCAGUAUUAUUUUGUUGUCAUAUUAGCUGUAAAUAAGGUGAUAGAUUGGGAGGAAAUUAUGUGGAGUUUAUAAAACAGGAUUCAUAUCAGGAGUAUCAAGGAAUUUUUCAAAUCAAUGAGAAAAUUUACUCAACAGAAAAAUGCACUAAAGCAUAUGAACAGACAGUUUAUAGAAGGAAGCCUGUGUGGGUCAACUGUGAAAAGAUGCUCAGCCUCACUAGUAGAGAAAGGCAAAGUCAGUCAUCAGAGAGCUGUCAGAUCUCAAACUGGUAAAAGAUAAAGAGCCAGAUAAUACCAGUUACAGUGAGACCAGGAAAACCUGGACUCUCGUGCACACAGGUGAGGCCGUGCCGGAGUGUGUCUGGGCGGCCCCAGGGAAAUCGUGAGUGCGUGUGGAGCUUAAUGAAGAUGUUCAGCACGGAACUGCUUGCUGGCUGCAUGGUCUUGAGCAGAUGACUUAACCUUAAGUUUCUCAUCUCUACAAUGUACACACCGACAGAACCCAGCUCAGAGUCGUGAGGCUAAACCUCGCUCGUAGGUCUGAGGCCCCAGAGCGGGGCUGCCAAGCGGGAAGCAUCGUCAGUGUCAGAGCUGGUGUCACUGUUACUCUGUGUCCUGCCACUAUGCUCCUGGAGUCAGAUGUGGAGAAUGGAAUGAGGGGUGAUGGGAGGAUUUUAAGUAGAACAAGAGAGGAGUCUUCGCUUAGUUAGAUCAUAGUGAACUGAGAAGUACCUUGGAAACCAAAUAAAGAAGUAAGCCAGGUGUAUUUAUUACAGACAAACUGGCCAGUCGAGAAAAACAUGAAGAAAAGCCACCUAUAAAAGGUCCCCCAUUUACUAUCGUUGAUCAUUAAGGCUUGUAUCUCACCCACUUGGGGUGCUUGUUUGAAAUGAUGGCUUCUGCACACCACCCCAGAUUUGCUAAAUCACAAUCUGAGGACAGUGCUUGGUUUGGUGCACACAAAAAUUUGAUUUAUUUGGGCUGACUUGUCCACAGCCCAGACUCAUCCAGAAAUAACGGUUGCCAGAUUUGCUUUGUUAUUGCCUAACUGUCAAAGCUGAGUUUUUCAUCCAGUUAGGUUCAGAGAUUUAGGAUCUAUAUUAAGCUGUUGAAGCUGCUGUUUUUAUUGCUAGAAACUCAUAUUUUAAUGUAAAAAUGGGACCCUUUCCCAUUGGGUGUGGAAGAAGAACCUGGAGAUUGACUAUGAGUUUCUUACAUCGUAAGCACCAGACAGUGACUACAGUCAGGCUGUGGAUGAACCACUUCCAGCCACCAACUGCAGUGUGGCCGUGUUAGGAGCCGAAGCAGCCCGAAUCGCUGGACAGGUCUCAGUGAAGUUGAUGCUCUGGUGUGCAGACCACACCGAGAACCACUGGAAAUUAGAACGUGGAUUCGAAGGAAGCACUGGCGGAUCCAUCCUGCGCUGGAAGAGAAAGUGAAGAGGUGAGAAGGGAUAGAAAGAAAAGAAAGAAGAAAGGAAAAGGCAGGUCACGUUUAAGACAUGCACUGGUAAGGAAUGAUGUAGCAAGAAAAAAUAACGGAGAAAUCUCGAGAUUUCUGCUAAAAGUACAACCAUGUGGUAUUAACCGUCUCAAAAGAAACACCAAUUCUUUGUGGAGUUUUUCUUGUUUGUUUGUUUGUUUUCAUUGAAAAGGAGAAAAUGUAUGGCCCACAAGCCGUAAAGAUGUAAUCCCCCCAAACCAGAGCCUGGGGUGCACUGGCAAGGCCCUGGCGCCCUGGCCGAGCUUUGGCCUUGCCUGUGGCCAGAAUGCCCAGGGUAGCAUCCGCCCUGGCGCCCGUCAGCAAAGGGAACGGUCUGUUCCUUUACUUGGGUAAACGGCGCACGGGCCCCUGCUGGUUCUCGAGUCAGCGGGGAGGUUCGCAGGCCAGGCCGCUGCCUCCUCGGGGUCAGUUUAAGGUCCACAGCAGGCCCUUUGCCCCGCCUCCCUCGGGGCCCUGUCCUCCCUGGGUUAGCAGAACCAGCUCCUGAAGAGGUGCCGAAUUCUCACGAACUGUUACAGCCAGAUUGUUUUCCUCGUCGCUUUUGUUUUGAUGUGUCUUGAAAUAAUUAGGCUUUUGCUCUCAAACGUUUCCAUUCUCCCUGCCUGGCUCACGCAGGCAUCUCUCACACACCACCCCGGGCGAGACGUGCUACUAUGGUAUCCAGUAAACAGCUGCCAAACAAAGCCAAGAGUCUCGCUCGAGUCAAGUUCCCUUCUGUACUUGUUGUUCUUCCAUCUGCCCUGAGCUGUGGAAUCGCUGUCCAGAACGUAACCCACUGCACCUCUGCGGAGCUUAAGAAAAGCAGCCCUUUGGACCUAUGCCAUUGACGUCCUUGCAACAUUUUAAUUAUCCAUUUGUUGGUUAGCAAGUCGGUCUAGGAAGAAAUCUUUCUUUUAUUCUUGGGAAGUAUGUACUGGGGGAGUUCAGUAAAGACUAGUAUAUGCUGACGCCCUGCUCUGCGCCAGGGCCUGUGGAGUGGCGGGCAGUCUCUGUCCAAGGACGCUCACGGUCUCGUGGGAACACGAGAGCUGAGAAGGAGCAAACGAGAAACUGGGAACGGCCAAGGGCCUGUUGAGUGGUCACCAUCCAACAGUGAGGUCAGACCAGGGAGGUCGCUGGGAAGAAAAGACACGUUUUCCUGUCUGGGGGCAACUGCCCCCUCCAUCACCAAGACCCGCACCCCCAGGCAAAGGUGAUGAAGCAGCUGGCCUCCUGCCUACCAUCCCUGGUCCUGCCCUGUGUCUCACUAUGUCCCUACAGACACUGUUCUAAGUUCCCAAUGUAUUUCUCCAAAACGUAGGAAUUGGAUUCACAUGAUCACUGAUGCCUCGGUUAUAUAAUAUUACUCAUUUUAUACAGAAUAUCUCAUUUUUUCAUAUAACAACCCCAGGAGGGAGGGAUAAUUCUUCCCAAAUUACAACAGGACAAGUCAGAGAGGUUAAGGAAUUUGCCUCGUCACUCAGCAAGGGGUGGAGCCAGGACCCAAACCGAUUGGUCUGUUCUGCACCCGGGCGGCCCCUGGCUCUCAGCUGUAAGUUGCAAUUUUGGUGCCCAGUACUAGCAGCACAACGGCUUCGCAAAUAAUGUUGUGAUUUAUUACGUGACUGAAAGAACACCCCAGCAGCUUCCGGGUUUAAUGACUCUUGCUAAUGACAGUUUCUAGCCGAAGAAAUUUACACGCUGUCGACAUGCAAAUGUAAUUUUUUUUCCAAUGGCCAUGCCAGGCCACAGCCUCCCUGUGGGCCCCGCACUGUGCAGGAUCCAGUCCCUGGAGUUCCACAGCCUCGCUGCCAACGCAGAACCUGGAGCGGCUGGCACAGACAGCCCCGGACGGCUGAGACGCCACCUGCACCUGCUGGACCCGGGGGUGCUCCGCACGUGCAGAAGGAGAAGCACUGCCCCGAGGCCUCGAGAGACCGGGGCAGGCGGGAAAGAAGAGGCAGGAUUUAUGUGUGGAGGGCAGCAAGGGCCAGAGGGCCGAAAGCAAGCGCUGGAAGCAUACGGCUGAGGCUGGGAAGAGUUCGCACUGAGAAAUGGCAGCACAUAAAGUUGGGAAAGUAGGUUAGAGCCGAACCGCUCAGGUCUCUUAAGUGUCCUCUUUGGAGAAAUUGUCUUCAGCUCGGCUCCCCUGCCCGCUUUUUAAUUGGAUUGUUUGUUUGGGGGGCGUUACGUUGCACGAGUUGCUUAUAUAGUGUCGAUAUUAACCCCUUACCGGAUGCAUCAUUGGCAAAUGUCUUCUCCCAUCCAGUAGGUCGUCUUUUCAUCGUGCUGGUGGUUUCCAUCUCUCUGCAAAACCUUUUUCGUUCGACGUGGUCCCGUCAUUUACUUUCUCCUUUGUUUCUCUUGCCGGAGGAGACACAUCCAAAAAGAGGACGGCCGAGAGUGGCGGACGGCCGUCGUCGUGCCGUGGGUCCGCAUGGUGGGGAGAGCGAGCGUGCUCUGGUCACGUCCUCUUCUGAAAAGGUCACCGAUUCCAUCACGGGGGCCGCACCCUCGUGACCUCAUCUCAACCCCAUCUCCUGCAGGCUUCUCCAGCCGCCAUCGCCUUAGGAGUUCGGGUUUCGAAGGAGGAAUUUGGGAAGGACACAAACGCUUAGUCAACAGCAAAUACCCACUGGCUGCCUUCGCCACAGAUAUUUUCCGUUAAGUGGGGAAAUGGCGGAGCGUGUUCGGAACACGUGAACCGUUCUGGUGUGGAGCCUGAACGCACGGUGGGACCGCGAGGCUUGUUUUCUAAGAAGCUUUUUGAGUUUCAGGUCAAAGGUGAAGAAGUGAAGGCACCGCGAUACUUGAACAUGAUCCUGCUGAUCGCCCAGGUCUUUUAAGGUCACAGACCUUAAUCAGAGACAAGACCAGACCUUUCCAUUCCUCAUCUGCUCUUCUGGACUCCAAAGCACCGCCUGUCUCCAAAAAGGAAAAUUAAAAACACAAAAUCUCAAGUGGUUUGAUAGUAAUUCAGCCCAGCAAAUUUUACUUUCCAUUAAAAGUCACCAGCUGUCAUGUGCUUAGCUUUAAAUGGAAAUAACUUGCUCCGAAAGAACAUUUUUUCAGUCGAUGUCACUUGCGAGUUUUAUUUUCUUCUGAAGAAAAAUGGAUUCGCAUUACUGCGGCUUUGGGGACAGGAAACCCCUGGACGGACGCCUGACUUGGUGAUCUGCCCCUGCCACAAGGAAAGCUGAUUGCUCCUCCAGGAGCCCGGAGGACGGGCACCGCGGGCAGGAGGGGGCUUUGGGGGACCGGAGGAGAACGGGUGCCAGUCACGUGGCAUCUUCUCGCAGUGAGCUUCUCGCGGUGCUGAUUCCCUUAAAUAAAAGAUUUUUUUAAUUAAAAAAUGCUUUUAAGUGUUGACGUUUUGGAGAGAGGCGUGAUACUUUUACGUGCCUAACGGUUUUAGGGAGGCAGCCCUUCUGAAACACGUGCGCUCAGGGCCUGUCACAGCUGAGGCCGGACCCCGACCAGAGCUCUUCUCUGCGGCCCUCACCACGUGCAAGUUCCUGGAGCCUUGUCUGGCGACUGAAAUGAUCUCUUCGGGACUCAAGAACAAAACAAAUGGGCGGGGCAGGGCGGGGCGCGCAGGCAGGAGGGCGAGGCCUAGGACCCUGGCUUGGCCCACUGGGCAGGGCCUGGUGCGGAGGGCAGAGCAGGCGGCGUGAGAGUUGCUCCGGCCGGGUCCUGACCUGCGGGAAAUUAACUGAGGGGACAGGGGAACUAGUGGGACUUGUAAACAAAGGGCGACGCUGACAGCCUCGGCACCGAGCAGGCCCAAACCCGGGGGUGGAGGCGCCCUUCAGCAGGGUCCCCAGCAGGGGCGGGUGGCUUCUCCUGCGUCAUCAGCCCCAGCACGUGCACAGGGGUGUCACACACCACCCCCGGGAGAGAUCCCUGCGACACUCAAACCCGUGGCUGUUACAAGGUCCCUCCCAGCCGAGACCAGACUUUCCCUGAGCCCCCAUCUCCAUGCGUACAGUCAGGGCUCAGAGGUGUCCGUGUCCAAGAAUUUGUGAAUAAUGUUCUCGACAGACACCUCAGCUCCCAGCUCCUCUGGAUGCGGGGCGGCGGGGCUGCCCCCGGGGGAGACCCCUGGCAGCCCCUGUCUGAGCAGCCGGGGCCAGCUCCAGGAACACUCAAUUCUGGCGCCCUUGCCGCCCAGGCCUGGUUACUUCAGCCUCCCUCUCCUCCCCCUGUCUCUUCCAGCAGGAGGCUGCCAAGGCGUUCGUCAUGGUUCCAGGCUAGCCUGCUGCUUGAUUUAUGCUCGACAGGGCAGGAGCGCAGACUCUAAAGGGGCUGAAGGCAAGCGGGGGCCGGGGUCGGAGGUGCUGGGUGGUCCUGUCGCCCCAGGCGUUGCUGAGAGGGCCCCCGGUUUUAGAAUCAACUCUCUGACCCUCUUAGGGCCAAGGAACACUCAGCC